UUCCUUCCUUUUCAAUCGGAA
rnacentral:piRNA from 1 species